AUUGAACGCUGGCGGCAUGCUUUACACAUGCAAGUCGAACGGCAGCGCGGGCUUCGGCCUGGCGGCGAGUGGCGAACGGGUGAGUAAUACAUCGGAACGUGCCCAGUAGUGGGGGAUAGCUCGGCGAAAGCCGGAUUAAUACCGCAUACGACCUGAGGGUGAAAGCGGGGGAUCUUCGGACCUCGCGCUAUUGGAGCGGCCGAUGGCAGCUUAGCUAGUUGGUGGGGUAAAGGCCUACCAAGGCGACGAUCUGUAGCUGGUCUGAGAGGACGACCAGCCACACUGGGACUGAGACACGGCCCAGACUCCUACGGGAGGCAGCAGUGGGGAAUUUUGGACAAUGGGCGAAAGCCUGAUCCAGCAAUGCCGCGUGUGUGAUGAAGGCCUUCGGGUUGUAAAGCACUUUUGGCGGGAACGAAAAGGACUGUGCCAAUACCACGGUUCGAUGACGGUACCCGCAGAAUAAGCACCGGCUAACUACGUG
rnacentral:rRNA from 1 species